GAAAAUGUCAGGUCCUGAAGGCAAGGUAGAAGAGUCAGAUCAUUUAGUGAAAGAAAAUAUCUAAUCCAAAUAAUCCCAAAAGCCAAACAAGUAGGAACUCGGACAUAUGACAAAGACCAAACAUAUAAAAACUAGGUACAGAAGGGGAGGCACAGGUCAAAGGUGCAAAAGAUUUUUGAAACAAAAUCAUAGGGGAAAAAAAACUUUCUUAGCCUGAAGUAAGAGGUGCCUAUGAAGAUCUGACAGAAAUAUAGAACACCAAGCAGAUAUGACUAGAAAAAAAAACUGACCUCUACUAUGAGAUAACCCAUUUGUAAAUUGUAAAUAUGUUUUAUUACCAUUCGUUAAUAAAGAAGAUAAUUUGGUCUAUAGAAAGGCAGGAUAGUGCCAGUCUGGACAUCCAAGCAGAGAUACAGGGAGAAGAAGGGCAGAUUUCAGGGGGAGAUGCCAGCAAGCUAUUGGAACAACAAGAUGUACUAGACAGCAGGUAAUGCCUGGAAGUUAGGUGGCAAAAUAUAGAUGAAUAGAAAUGGGUUAAUUUAAGUUGUAAGAGCUAGUUAGUAAUAUAUCUAAGCAAUACAUCAAUUUGUAAUUAAUAUUGGGCCCCUGAGUGGUUAAUUUAAAAUUGACUGCAGGACCAGACAGAAAAGCCUACAUUUAUACCUUUCAUCAUAUCAAAAUGCUACAUGCUCAGAACAACAACAACAGCAGCAACAAAAUGAUAUUAAAAAACAACCAGAAAAAUUAUGUCAUAUACAAAGGCAGACUCAUCAUAAUAACAGCAGAAUUUUUAAUGGUGACUAUAAAAAACACAAGGGUCUAGACUAGUACUCAUAACCUAAAGAACCAAAGCAAGUCUCAGCAAAUAUAGGAAAAUUGAAAUUACAUUUUGCAUUUAAUCUGGCAACUAUGUAUUAAAAUUCCACAUCAACAAAAAAGAACAUGAAUUCAUGGAAUCUAAACAACACACUACUGAAUCAAAUUCAUGGAAAGAAAAAAACAAGAAUGAAAAUUAAGCAUUUAUGGAUUCCCAGAAGUGAAUAAAAUGAAAAAAACAUAAGGCAAUUUCAAGAAUAAAACUUAACUCACUAUAUGCCUAUAUAUAAAAAAUGUGAAGAAAUCUCAAAUUAAUAACUCAUUGAUUCAUCUGAAGGCUUUAGAAAAAUUUAUAAAUGUAAUUAUCUUAAAAGAUAGAGACCAUAUAAUCAUCUCAUUAAAUGCGGAAAGGACCUCAAACAAAAUCCAAAGUUUUUUCAUAAUAAAGAUUUUGGAGACACUAUGGGUACAGGAAAAAUAUCUUAACAUAAUAAAGGUAAUAAAUAGAAAGACCUCAACCAACAUUAUCGUAAAUGAAGAAAAGCUUGAAAACAUUUCCAUCAAAGUCAGGAACAAGACAUGAACGUCCACUUUCUUCAUACGUAUUCCACAGUACUUGAAAUCUUAGCUAGAGCAACAAGACAACUGAAGGAGAUACAAAUGGAAAAGGAAGUAGUAAAAGUGCCUUUAUGUGCAGAUGAUAUGAUACUGUGCAAAAGGCUAAAAUAUUCCACCAGAAAUUCUCUAGAUUUGAUCACUAUAUUUAGUAUUAGAUCAAUACAUUGAUACAAAACUAUCAUACAAAAAUUGGUAGCCUUUUUAUAUACAAAUAAAAAGCAAACUAAAAGAAUUAUGAAGAAAAUAUCUUUCAUAAUAGCCUCAAAAUAAAAAUUUCUGAAUGAAUAUAACCAAGAAAGGAAGACAUGUAAGUGAAAACAUUAAGAUAUAGAAGAAUCUGGGCCUUGGUGGUGCAAACCUUUAAUCCCAGCACUAGGGAGGCAGAGACAGGCAGAUCUCUGUGAGUUUGAAGCCAACAUGGUCUACAAAAACUAGUUCCAGAACAGUCUCCAAAGCUAUAAAUAAACUCUGUCUCAAAACAAAACGGAGAAAAAAAAACAUAGAAAGAAAUUGAAGAUACAAGAUUGGAAAAGCUCUCUUGCUUGUGCUUUGGUAGAAUUAACAUUGUGAAAAUGAUAUUUUACUAAAAAUAAUAUACAGAUUCAAUACAAUCCCCACCAAAUUUCCACUAUGAUUCUUCAUAAAAAUUGUAAAGAUAAUAUUAAAUUUCAUAUGUAAAUGCAAAAUAUCCAGGAUAACCUAAAAAAUCCUAAAAAACAAAAAUUUGCUAGAGAUUUUACCAUCUCAGAUCUUGUUAUCUUACCAAGUUAUAGUAAUAAAAACAGCAUAAACAGCAUGUUGCUGGCAUAAAACCAAACCUAUUGAUCGAUAGAAUAGGAUAGCAGCUGCGUAUGAACCCACAUUUCUACAGUCAUUUGAUUUUUAAAAGAAAGGCUAGCAAUACACAUUAGAGAAAAUAUAGUAUCUUCAACAAAUGUUGCUAGUCAGACUGGAUAACUGCAUGUAGAAAAAUGAAACUUGAUUCUCUCUCACUCCAAAUGGAUCAAGGACCUCAGCAUAAGAUCUGAUACUCUGAAGCUGAUGAGAAAAAAUGGUGGGUGAUACAUGUGCAUCCUUUGACAUGAAAGUGACUUUCUGAGUAGGGUCACAGUAGUGUAGGCUUUAAGAUCAACAAUUAAUGAAUGAGACCUUUUGAGACUAAAAAGGUUUUGCACAGCAAAGGAUACUAUUACUCAGGAAGAGAGACAAGCUACAGAAUGAGAAAAAUAUCUUCAUUGACCACAUAUUUGACAGAGGUUUACUAUCUAGAUUAUAAGAAUUCAAAAAAUUAAAUACCAGCCGGGCGAUGGUGGCGCACGCCUUUAAUCCCAGCACUCGGUAGGCAGCAGAGGCAGGCGGAUCUCUGUGAGUUCGAGACCAGCCUGGUCUACAAGAGCUAGUUCCAGGACAGGCUCCAAAACCACAGAGAAACACUGUCUCGAAAAAUCAAAAAAAAAAAAAAUUAAAUACCAAAGAACAAACAACCUUUAUCUAGGUACUUUAAAGAUAAAAUACAAAUAACUGAGGAACAUUUCUAAAAAAUAUUUUACAUACUUAGUAAUCAGGGAAAUGGAAAUUAAAACUACUUUGAAGUUUUUCAUCUCAUCCUAGGUAAAAUGGCUAAUCUCAAAAGACAAUAAAUGACACUGAUGGUGAAUUGAAAUCUGGUGUAGUUACAAUGAAAAUCUAUGUGGAAUUUCCUCGAUAAGCUAGAAAUAGAGCUACUACAUGGUCCAGCUCUGCCACUCUGGAGAUUUACCCAAAGGACUUUUGAUAGUGCUUCUAUUGCUGCAACAAAACACAAUGACAAAAAGCAAAUUGGGGAGGAAAGGAUUUAUUUGGCUUGUAUUUCGUCAUUAUAGUCCAUCAUUGAAGAAAGUCAGGAUAGGAAAUGAAACAGGGAAAGAUCCUAAAGGCAGGAACUGAUGCAAAGGCACAGAGGGAUGCUUCUUACUGUCUUGUUCCCCCCUGGAUUGCUUAGACUGCUUUUUUUUUUUUUU